GCGGCAGCCAGGGGUCCCCGAGCCGUGGGGCAGAGCCAGGCUCUGGGGUGCUGGGGGGAUGCUGGCGAGGGCUGCGCGGCUGCGUCAUCCCGUCCGCACCCGGCCACCCACCUCCCGCUAUUGUCUUACACCCGCUGUUGCUUCUGCUCCCAAAUUAGCUGCUUCAGAAGGGGGGGGCCGGCUGCGUGCGGGUGCCAGCGCGGCACCCAGCCUCCCUGCUGCGCCCAGCUCUCACCCGGGUGCGCUCACCUGCGGGACAUCCCGGGGGUGCUGACCCUCCGAGCCAGCCCGAGGCAGGGGCUGGUGCUCAGCCCGGCAGGAUGCCACCCACUCAGCCAGCGGGAACUGCUGCGAUGGGCGCAGGUCAGCCGAGCGCUCGCAGAGGCAGCAAUCAAAUCCCGAUCCGUCAUCCCAUCGGGUCCCUGCACAGCUCAUCCUGGCAGCACGCCGGCAGCCCUCAUCCCAGCCCUCCCAGGCAGCCACUGGCUGCGGGAACAGCCCUGGUCCCCUCGCCCAGGGGCAGUGGCACGGCACAGCCGGCGUCAUGUGGCACGGGGACAACUCGGAGGUGCCAGGCAGGGCACGUUCCCUGUUGGGAUGAGCCCAGGGAAGGCAGGGAAGCUUCAGCAGCUCUAUAGCUUGGGCGUGAGUUUUCUUGCACCCAUGGGUGCUUUGCUUCUCUUUUGGGAGUGGGCACACUUGGAGCGGGACGGGGCCGGCUGCUCUUGCCCAGCACGGGCUGGUGCCCUGAUGCUGCGCACUGAGGGGCUCCCAUCCCGCAGGCAGGGCUGGAUGGAGGCAGCGAGCACACGAAGGAGCAUCCCCACGCCCCUGCCUCGCUGUCCCCACGCCCCCCCCCUCGGGGUCACCCACCCCAGGGAUCAUCCUGGUGCCCACACACGGUGCUGCAGGCUGGGCACCCACCCGGGGCCGGCACGGCGGUGCCGGGGCUGCGCGCCGCAGCAGGUCGGGUGCUGCGGGUGCUGCCCGUCCCUGCCCCCGCCGCAGGAUGUGCCGCUUUCUGCAUCUCCAGCUCCCAUCGCCAUAGCAACAGGCUCAGCGCUUGGGUACCCGCCGCGCCGGCUCCCGCAUCCCGCUCCGCCAUCCUGCCACCGGGACCGGGGCGGCGGGUGCUGCCAGCACGGUGCGGUGCGGCACGGUACGGCUCGUCACCUGGGGAGCUGGGGGUGA
rnacentral:lncRNA from 1 species